UUCAAUUUCUUCUCUCUCUCAGUCCUUUCUCUCAUUCUCUCUCUUCCUUUCUCACUUUCUCUCUCACGUUUCUUCUCUUCCCUUUCCUUUUUCUUUCUUUCUUCUUUACAAACCGGAUGGUACUCUAUGAUACUCUUGGAGCGUUUCUGGUAUGUCCACGGAAACUUACGGAGCUUCGAAACUACUGAAGAUGUUGUAGUUAUUGUAUGUCACUCUUCAUGUUAGGGUUUGUGGUGAAUUUUGUGCAGGGAGGAUUUGGAGUAUAUAAAGGGUUUUGGUUUUGUGGCUAGGGUUCAAUAACGGGAAAAUUACGGUUUUAAUUUUAUAGACUUAUCAUCGGUGUUCGGUCGAAGAGGUUGCCGGUUUGAACGUUGUUGCUGUUUUAUUGUUAUAGUGUCCACAAAAUCAAUGUUUUGUCGUUGUUGGUCGUAAACAAGCAUCUUUGAAAUUGCCUUUAAUGGUGGGAACAUAUUCGGUGUCGGCUUUGCUUCGUCAAGUGCAGGUUGGGAAUUUUCAUAAGCUUGCUAUCUUGACUGAUUUUUUUUCUGAUUUGCUCUCUCUUCACAUUUCUCAUUCUUUCUUUCUUUGAAGUUGUCUCUUCCUCUUCUUUCUUCAUGUUCUUCUGCUCUUUUGAUUCGAUUUCAAGCGAAGAAGAUGGAAAUUUAUUUAUGGUUUGUGGUAUUGUUUCACACGAAGAGUUUAUGGCGGCAGAUCUGAAGUUUUCGGCGAUUUCACAGCGCUCGAUUUUGCGGUGGUAGCUUUGUCCCCCGAUCCUAUCAUCUCACUCAACUUAUUUGUGGAUCUACACUUUGAUAUGAUGCGUUGUUGGUUAGUUUAUGGUUUCAAAUCGUUUUCUGUUCUAAAAUUUCAGGUUUUUUCCAAUUUGUUUUUAGGGUUUUUGUUACAAGCUUUUAGAACUGACUGGUUGAUAAAGAAGUAAUUUUUAAGAAAAAUGUGAUUACCUUUAGAUGAUGCUUUGGAAUGUCAUGUUUUGAUUUUAGGGUUUUUGUUACAAACUUUAGCAUCUUCUUUGUUUAACAAAAGUUGGUUACAUAAUGAUGCAUAAGAUUUGUAUUUAUGCAGGUUGGCAUUUUUGGCAGAGGUUGGUUAUUUACCAUGGUUGAUGUUCUGAAUGUGAAUGUGGUUCAUCAUGUAGUUGGAUAUGUAUAAAAUUGGUUUACUUUAAUUUCUACUUUGUUUAGAUUCAACUUUUGCUUUAUUUUACCAUGGAUAUCAAUGUUUGGCUUGAUGUUUGAAUACUCAAGGAUAGCUUGGAGAAUGAAGGAUGCAGGGCAUGGUUCAGUUUAGAACUGGACUUGAAUUGACUUAGUGUAGGUAUGAAUAUGGUGAACUGGACUGGUUUUAAUGUGAGCAUUUUUCUGUUAUGUAGCAGGUCUUGAAUGGCAUACAUAUGGUGCGAUGACGGUUUUAAAUGCGCUUUGGUUUGGAUGUAUGGUAAGGUGUAUGGACUGAUAUGAUGGUAAGGUGUAUGGACUGUUUUUACCCUUUAAAGGUAUUUGACAAGUUCUUGAAUGUUUCAGAUUAUGAAUUUCUUACCUAAAGGGGCUCGCUCUCUUCUUGCGCAGCCAAUAUUACAAGUUUCUAUGGAGAGUGCUACCGAUUCGCAAACACCGGCGGGAUUUAUUCGGCUGGUCUCGACCACGAGAUAUGCAUUUAACGUCAAAGGCAGAGCCUGGAUUGCAGCUGUGGCCAACAAGCUUAGAGAAACGGGUUAUCACAGUGAGAAAGAAUGGUACUUUUCUCUCAGGGGGAUCGAAAAUACUCGAACAGUUCCCGGCCUAACCGGGUUGCCGGAAGUGGUUACUGGAAGGCUACCGGAGCUGAUAAACCAACUGGGAAAGUGAAACCAAUGGGGAUACAAAAAGCACUGGUUUUCUAUGCCGGUAAAGCCCCCAAAGGAGUGAAAACUAAUUGGAUUAUGCAUGAAUAUCGUCUUGCCAACGUUGAUAGGCCCGCCAGCAAGAAAAAUAAUUUAAGGCUUGAUGAUUAGGUAUUAUGUAGAAUUUACAAAACAAGAAAGGAAAGAUUGAGAAAUUCAACACGAGUCUGGUUUUCUCGCUGUAUGUGACUAGGCUUUCUCACAAAUUUCUGACCAAUUUCCGUUAAUGCCAUUGUAGGGAACUCUUGUCCAUCAAGAAAAUGCUGAACUCCAUAAAAAAAUGGACUUCAUUCAGAAAGAAAAUGCAGAGCUACAGAAGAAGGUUUAUGAAGCAAGGAGUACAAAUGAAGAAAAUGUGGCAUCGAAUCUUUCAUGCACUAUCAAUGGAUAUGAUUUACAUGCGCCGAUCAAUCUUUAGCUAAGGCAACCACAGGCUCAAUACAGUGAACCCGCAACCAUGAAAUUAUGAUUACAGCUGCAUUCCUAACAAGCUGUCAUGAACCAGUUCAAAUAUAUAGCAGCCUAGCAGGUGGUUUUAGAAUUUUGUUCUCUAGCAGCUGAGAUAUUAUUGUAUGAAAUCUAUAGAUUAAUUAUAGAAUCAACAAAUGCAUCUAAUAUUUGUAUCAAUUCCUCUUUCUAAUUUAAAUUCUCAAACUUUCCUGAUAUGUUAUACUACUGAUCAUUUUCAGUUGUGAUCAGUUGAAAUUACACUUUAAACACUAAAACUCAGUGUAGACCUCUAUACCAUACCAAUAUACUAUUCAC